rnacentral:rRNA from 1 species
GACUACUGGGGUAUCUAAUCCUGUUUGAUCCCCACGCUUUCGUGCCUCAGCGUCAGUUGCGAGCCGGUGGGCUGCCUUCGCCAUCGGUGUUCCUCCUGAUAUCUACGCAUUUCACUGCUACACCAGGAAUUCCACCCACCUCUCUCGCACUCAAGACUUGCCGUAUCAAAGGCACCCCACGGGUUAAGCCCGUGGAUUUCACCUCUGACGCACAAGUCCGCCUACGCACCCUUUACACCCAGUAAUUCCGGACAACGCUCGGAUCCUACGUAUUACCGCGGCUGCUGGCACGUAGUUAGCCGAUCCUUCCUUUGAGGGUACCGUCUCAGUACAUCAAAUGUACCAUUCGUCCCCUCCGACAGCGGUUUACGAGGCUAAGCCCCUUCAUCCCGCACGCGGCGUCGCUGCAUCAGGAUUGCCCCCAUUGUGCAAUAUUCCUCACUGCAGCCUCCCGUAGG